AGUGAACGCUGGCGGCGUGCCUAAUACAUGCAAGUCGAACGGAGUGGCGCACGGGUGAGUAAUAUAUAGCUAAUCUGCCCCUUGCUGGAGGACAACAGUUAGAAAUGACUGCUAAUACUCCAUAGCAAGGGAUGAGACUAUAUCGUAUCAGCUAGUCGGUGGGGUAACGGCCUACCGAGGCUAUGACGUGUAACUGGUCUGAGAGGAUGAUCAGUAACAUUGGAACUGAGACACGAUCCGAACACCUGCGAGAGGGGACAGUAGGGAGUAUGGCGCAAUGGGGGAAACCCUGGCGGAGCAACGCCGCGUGGAGGAUGGCACUUUUCGGAGCAUAAAAUCCUUUUGUUAGGGAAGCGGUACCUAACGAGUAAGCACCGGCUAACUCCGUGCCAGCAGCCGCGGUAAUAC
rnacentral:rRNA from 1 species